GACGAACGCUGGCGGCGUGCUUAACACAUGCAAGUCGAACGGUAAGGCCCUUCGUGGUACACGAGUGGCGAACGGGUGAGUAACACGUGGGUGAUCUGCCCUUCACUUCGGGAUAAGCCUGGGAAACUGGGUCUAAUACCGGAGCGGACCACGGCCCGCAUGGGUGGUGGUGGAAAGCUUUCUGCGUGCUGGGAUGGGCCCGCGGCCUAUCAGCUUGUUGGUGGGGUGACGGCCUACCGAGGCAACGACGGGUAGCCGGCCUGAGAGGGUGACCGGCCACACUGGGACUGAGAUACGGCCCAGACUCCUACGGGAGGCCGCAGUGGGGAAUAUUGCACAAUGGGCGCAAGCCUGAUACAGAGACGCCGCGUGAGGGAUGACGGCCUUCGGGUUGUAAACCUCUUUCAGCACCGACGAAGCGCAAGUGACGGUAGGUGCAGAAGAAGGACCGGCCAACUACGUGCCAGCAGCCGCAGUAA
rnacentral:rRNA from 1 species